rnacentral:misc_RNA from 1 species
GAAAUGCGAUAAGUAGUGUGAAUUGCAGAAUUCAGUGAAUCAUCGAAUCUUUGAACGCACAUUGCGCCCCUUGGUAUUCCAUGGGGCAUGCCUGUUCGAGCGUCAUUUGUACCCUCAAGCUCUGCUUGGUGUUGGGUGUUUGUCCCCGUCUCCGCGCGUGGACUCGCCCCAAAGUGAUUGGCAGCCGGCGUACUGGUCCCGGAGCGCAGCACAUGUCGCGCAAACGAGUGCCUUGGUACGGCGGCGUCCAUAAGCCCCUCUCUCACGCUCUUGACCUCGGAUCAGGUAGGGAUACCCGCUGAACGUAAGC